GAGAGAGAGAGAGAGAGAGAGAGAGGGGGCACUUUGUUGCCUUUUUCAUGAUGCACGCAUCCAUGGCAGAACAGACAGCGGUACAGAGUACUGCUGCGACGCAGGGGUAGAAGAGCCGAGCUGAACAAAGAUCAACCUCAACAACCAUACCAACAAGAACAACAAGGUCCUCAAACAGAGGAAAAAUAAAUAAAUAAAAAAAGGAGAAAGAAAGGGGCAAAGCUCAGGGAGAGAGAGAUGGAGCUGCAAUGGAGGUGGAGAGAUGGGAAGUAGAUAUCAUGGAGCUCAAGAAGAAGAGGAAGAACAGGGUCAAGGGGUCAAGAACAGUCUGCAUAGCUAUUUUGUUGAAAUAGGUCCCUUGUUUCUUUGAGAAUAAGAAGAGGGAUUCAUGGCAUGCAGGGAGCGAUGGUGGGUUUAAAAUCUCGGAUAAAAGAACAAGAAAGUGCCUUUCUUUUCUAAAUCUGAGCAACCCACUUGAGCUAACCCAUUUCUUCACUUCACUUCACUUGCACAAAUCUUGGCCUUUUCCAUUUGAUCUCGUCAAAAAAGCGCCGCUUGCCUUCUCGGUUUCUCUGUAUACAUGAGUGGGAUGCCCUUUCAUUUGCAGGGGAAGGGGGGAUUAGAUAUUGAUAUUGCUGGUUUUGCUUCUAUUUGUUCUCAACAAGAAACUUGGAAACAGAAGCUAAAACAGCACGAAGUUAAUAGCUUUGCAAGCACAGAGCCCACCUCAGUUCUUCAUAUGAGA
rnacentral:misc_RNA from 1 species